GGACAUGAGGGCGAUCUGGCUGCAACAUCUGUCACCCCAUUGAUCACCAGGGUUGAUUUGGCUGAUCUGGCUGGCUAGACAGGUGUCUCCUUUCUCCCUCACCACUCCAUGUACAUCCCUCCCAGAGCUGUGUGGUGAGUCGAAGAGCACAACCAUCCCCAACAGAGGAGGACUGGUCUUUGGUCAAGGGUAUAUAAGUAGCUGUGUUUCCCUGCUAGAACCUCCAAACAAUGUCUCAAGAUUUAAUGUUAAUCAAUUCAUUAAUUGACCCAUUUAUUCACUCAACACAUAUACAUUGAACACAUCAACUAUAUGU
ensembl:misc_RNA 7SK 7SK RNA